rnacentral:rRNA from 1 species
AGAGUUUGAUCCUGGCUCAGAACGAACGCUGGCGGCGUGCCUAACACAUGCAAGUCGAGCGCGAAAGUCCCUUCGGGGGUGAGUAGAGCGGCGGACGGGUGAGUAAUACAUAGGUAAUCUACCUUCGAGCUUGGGAUAACCCUGCGAAAGUGGGGCUAAUACCGGAUAAGACCACGUAAUUAUUUUACGGGGUAAAAGGUGGCUUAUUUUUUAAAUGAGCUAUCACUUGAGGAUGAGCCUGUGGCCUAUCAGCUUGUUGGUGGGGUAAGAGCCUACCAAGGCUAUGACGGGUAGCUGGUCUGAGAGGACGACUAGCCACACUGGGACUGAGACACGGCCCAGACUCCUACGGGAGGCAGCAGUGGGGAAUAUUGGGCAAUGGGCGAAAGCCUGACCCAGCGACGCCGCGUGGGCGAUGAAGGCCUUCGGGUUGUAAAGCCCUGUCAUGCGGAAAGAACGACCCUGCGACGCAUAAUCGCAGGGAGUGACGGUACCGCAGGAGGAAGCACCGGCUAACUCCGUGCCAGCAGCCGCGGUAAUACGGAGGGUGCAAGCGUUGUUCGGAAUUAUUGGGCGUAAAGGGCGCGUAGGCGGUAAUGCUAGUCAGAUGUGAAAUACUCCGGCUCAACCGGGGAACUGCAUCUGAAACUGCAUAACUAGAGUACAGAAGAGGGAAACGGAAUUCCCGGUGUAGAGGUGAAAUUCGUAGAUAUCGGGAGGAACACCAGUGGCGAAGGCGGUUUCCUGGUCUGAUACUGACGCUGAGGCGCGAAAGUGUGGGGAGCAAACAGGAUUAGAUACCCUGGUAGUCCACACUGUAAACGGUGAACACUAGUGUGGGAGGUGUAAUACCUUUCCGUGCCGUAGCUAACGCGUUAAGUGUUCCGCCUGGGAAGUACGGCCGCAAGGUUGAAACUCAAAUGAAUUGACGG